AUACGGAGGACGCGAGCGUUAUCCGGAUUCAUUGGGUUUAAAGGGUGCGCAGGCGGCCGUGCAAGUCAGCGGUGAAAGCCCGGGGCUCAACCCCGGAAGUGCCGUCGAUACUGCAUGGCUGGAAUGCGGUCGAGGCGGGCGGAACGUGGCGUGUAGCGGUGAAAUGCGUAGAUAUGCCACAGAACGCCGAUAGCGGAGGCAGCUCGCCAGGCCUGCAUUGACGCUCAGGCACGAAAGCGUGGGGAUCGAACAGGAUUAGAUACCCUGGUAGUCCGCACAGUAAACGAUGAAUACUUGUUUUCGGCGAUAUAAUGUCGGAGGCAAAGCGAAAGCGAUAAGUAUUCCACCUGGGGAGUACGCCGGCAACGGUGAAACUCAAAGGAAUUGACGGGG
rnacentral:rRNA from 1 species